rnacentral:misc_RNA from 1 species
AAAGUCGUAACAAGGUUUCCGUAGGUGAACCUGCGGAAGGAUCAUUAAUGAUUAGCCCUCUGUGGCCCUAUCAAAUCCACAUACCUCUGUGAACUGUUGGCCUUCGGGUCAUUUACAAAACAUUGUGUAAUGAACGUACCAUAUAUAAACAUAAAACAACUUUCAACAACGGAUCUCUUGGCUCUC